UCUCCAUUUCACGUGCUCUCUCAUCGGUUAGAGAAGCGAGAGAGUGUGCGAAAUGAAGAGA
rnacentral:pre_miRNA from 1 species